rnacentral:rRNA from 1 species
UGGGGAAUAUUGCACAAUGGGCGAAAGCCUGAUGCAGCAACGCCGCGUGAGGGACGACGGCCUUCGGGUUGUAAACCUCUUUUAGCAAGGAAGAAGCGAAAGUGACGGUACUUGCAGAAAAAGCGCCGGCUAACUACGUGCCAGCAGCCGCGGUAAUACGUAGGGCGCAAGCGUUAUCCGGAAUUAUUGGGCGUAAAGAGCUCGUAGGCGGUUUGUCGCGUCUGCUGUGAAAACCCGAGGCUCAACCUCGGGCCUGCAGUGGGUACGGGCAGACUAGAGUGCGGUAGGGGAGAUUGGAACUCCUGGUGUAGCGGUGGAAUGCGCAGAUAUCAGGAAGAACACCGAUGGCGAAGGCAGAUCUCUGGGCCGUAACUGACGCUGAGGAGCGAAACGGGUGGGGAGCAAACAGGAUUAGAUGACCCU